rnacentral:rRNA from 1 species
UACGUAGGUGGCAAGCGUUGUCCGGAUUUACUGGGCGUAAAGGAUGCGUAGGCGGAUAUUUAAGUCAGAUGUGAAAACCCCGAGCUUAACUUGGGGACUGCAUUUGAAACUGGAUAUCUAGAGUGUGGGAGAGGAGAAUGGAAUUCCUAGUGUAGCGGUGAAAUGCGUAGAGAUUAGGAAGAACACCAGUGGCGAAGGCGAUUCUCUGGACCAUAACUGACGCUGAGGCAUGAAAGCGUGGGUAGCAAACAGGAUUAGAUACCCUGGUAGUCCACGCCGUAAACGAUGAGUACUAGGUGUAGGGGGGUCCAACCCUCUGUGCCGCAGUUAACACAAUAAGUACUCCGCCUGGGAAGUACGAUCGCAAGAUUAAA